AGAAGGUUUUCGGAUCGUAAAACUCUGUUGGUAGAGAAGACGUUGGUGAGAGUGGAAAGCUCAUCAAGUGACGGUAGCUACCCAGAAAGGGACGGCUAACUACGUGCCAGCAGCCGCGGUAAUACGUAGGUCCCGAGCGUUGUCCGGAUUUAUUGGGCGUAAAGCGAGCGCAGGUGGUUUAUUAAGUCUGA
rnacentral:rRNA from 1 species